rnacentral:rRNA from 1 species
GAUGAACGCUGGCGGCGUGCCUAAUACAUGCAAGUCGAGCGAACGGACGAGAAGCUUGCUUCUCUGAUGUUAGCGGCGGACGGGUGAGUAACACGUGGAUACCCUACCUAUAAGACUGGGAUAACUUCGGGAAACCGGAGCUAAUACCGGAUAAUAUCUUGCACCGCAUGGUUCACAAGUGAAAGUCGGUCUUUCUGUCACUUAUCGAUGGUUCCGCGCUGCAUUAGCUAGUUGGUAAGGUAACGGCUUACCAAGGCAACGAUGCAUAGCCGACCUGCGAGGGUGAUCGGCCACACUGGAGCUGAGACACGGUCCAGACUCCUACGGGAGGGAGCAGUAGGGAAUCUUCCGCAAUGGGCGAAAGCCUGACGGAGCAACGCCGCGUGAGUUAUGAAGGUCUUCGGAGCGUAAAACUCUGUUAUUAGGGAAGAACAGAUGUGUAAGUAACUGUGCACAUCUUGACGGUAACUAAUCAGAAAGCCACGGCUAACUACGUG